CUCAAAUAUUUCCCAAAAUACCUGUAUAUAACUUAUAUAUACCCCCUUCCCCCAAGAAAAUGUCGCUGUGUGAUGAAAAGAUAUUAUAUUAGCCAUUUACAACAUGUUGGGAGCUGCAGUGCACCCUGCUUAUUUUUUUACUAUUGCCUAACGACUAACGCCAGACGAUUUUACUCAUCAAUGGGGAAGCUCUGCAGCUUAAUGGGUUUAACAAUUUGGAACACCAGAUACUGGAUGGCAAUCUGGCAAUUACUUCGUAACUACUGUAUGUUGCUUCCC